AAUCUAUUGUCCUUGAAAAGUCAUAUCGGCCCCGUGCACACAUCUCUUCACACAAGUCAUCCUUGUGUCUUUCCUGUGCCUGCACCUUUCCCACAGUCGGGCAGGCGCAGAUCAGCCUGCUGCUUUUAUCUGCUUUGUAUUCUUUGGCAAAACAGAGGGAAGUGAGAGAGAAGAUGGCGAGGACCUCGAGUCCUGCAACUCAACGCAAACAAGAAGCUCCCCACUUAUAAAGCUGAUUGCGAUAAAGCUGACUGAUGUAGACGGUGGCAGACGGGGGUCUGAAAGUGAGGAGUCAAGACAGGAAGUACACCCCCCUUAUGGCAACGAACCAUGUUAUUACAAGAUACGCUGGCACGUUGAUGUAGUCAAGGGCGUCAUCGGAACAAGACGUGCGACGAAAGGUGAGACAUUGAUCUGGUCUUGACCUUCAUAAGAGGGGCCAUUGGUUCAAAAAGUUGGGGGUCACUUGCUCGAUGAAUACCUCCACAUCUUGCUGACUCCACUGUUUAAAGACAUACAGGAAUUCUCCCCUCUGAUCCUAAAGCCAGCCUUGCGGCACACUCCAAUGUUAUCGACUCAGCAUGUUUUCAGCGUGGUGUGGACGCACUCUCAAUCAUCAUUAAGGGUUUUGGAGAGUCCUGGGGUCUGGGAAACUUUCCAGAAUGUGUAAAAGUUUCCAUGAGGAAAGCCUCCGUUGCUUUCAGAAUCAUCAGGGGUAGACGGAGAUCCUCUACAAGAAUAGAAUGCCCUUUUUUGUUCCCGAAGGAAAGGGGAUUUGACAACAUUUGGAUUUUCACAUUGAGAAAACAAGCCUGGUCGAGUUUCAAAUGCAGAAACCCUGAAUUGAAGAGGAAACAAUCACAAGUAAAACUACCCUGAAACGCAAAGCAAUCAGAGCACAUAUGUUAACUGUCAGAAAUUGACUGAGGCUGCAAUAUGUUUUUGUGUGCGUGUGUGUCUGUGUGUCUGUGUGUUGUUUUUUCGGAGAAUAAUGGUCCUCUGUGUCCCUGAGAGGCAGCUGGUACAAAUCUGACCCUCUGAUUAGCACAACUAAGCUGCACUCAGCUUCUUUUCAUGAUAUUACCAAUCACGACAGCAGCUAAUAAGACAGGACACACUGCAGUAGCCGCACAGGACCAAACGCCUGGCCCAUUCAGCAUUCUUCUUUUGCUACACGGACACACACGCACGAACAUGCGCACAGAGCUGAACAUAUACACGUGAACGAUAUAUGUUGCAAAAUCAUCGAUCCAACGCACCAAACUGCUUGAUCCUUGCAAGGUUCACAUUGGAGCCUAUCCCAGCUGAUUUUGAGCAGUAGGCGGGGCACACCCUGAACUGGUUGCCAGCCAAUCGCAGGGUGCACUUAGACAAACAAACAUUCAGACCCACAAUCACAUCUAAGGAUAAUUUAUCGUGUUCACUUAACAGACCGUACAUCUUUUUGGAAUGUGGGAUGAAAGCGGAGUACUCGGAGAAAAGCCAUGCAGGCACAGGGAGAAUGUGAAAGCGAUACAUAGGGAGGAGGGGCCGGAAUUGAACACACAACCUCUGCACUGUGAGGUGGACAUGCUAACCAGUUGAUAUUUGUACCGGCAUAGCAAAAUCAGAUAAAAUGGAAUUAUAUAGGUUUAAAAAGAAGAUGUUAUUUUUAACCCAGGAGUUUUAAGUUUUUAAAAAUGGCCUUGAUGACUCUAUAAUGAUCCAUGAUUCUGGAGUAACCCAGCUCCGUAGAGUGAGGACAAAAUUGUGUACCAAUUUUCUUGAAAGGCAGUCUCUCUUUGUUCUUCUCUUCUUAAAUGUACACAUGCACAUGCACACACAAUCUUACACACACACACACACACACACACACACACACACACACACACACACACGCACACACACACGCACACACACAUACACUGCGCAGUUCGAUAAAUAGCAAUACUAAAGGCUUUAAUCUUGAAACAUACACAUCGCAGAUGCUUUAGCACCUGUAACGUUUUCUAACUCCUACCGAGCAACUUGAUUGAACAGCAGCAAACAAAAUGCAUUCUAGUAAUAAUAAUAAUAUAUUGGCUUGAGAAGAAUGUAAGACAUUUGUCACAUAUCCUGUUUAAACCAAGGUGCACUUACAUAUUCACUCUGCACGACAAGACAGAAAUCACGCACUGCUGGUGCUUGCCGUUGGGAGCGCCGAACAGCGUUGGGAGGGGUGGCGUGGAUGAAGCUCGUUUUUAAACAAAAGUGGGUCUACUCUAUUUUUGUAGUUAAAAUAUUCAGUUUCAACUUUGGACUGUACUUUUUUAUUUGUAGUUAAAAACAACACAGCUUAAUUUUUUUUAAUGAAUAUCAAACAUUUUGGGGGCGCUAUUAUUGUCUUUGUAUACUGUAAAUGGGCCAUGUACGCCUCUGUUGAAGCAGCAGUGAUAUGGAAACCGGCAGAAGGGGUAUUGCAUUAAGCCGUGCUCACAGCAAGAACAACAGGUAAACAAAAUCUGCUUUAGAGAGUAUGUAUUGCAGUCAAGGGGUUUUAAGCUCAGGCUCGCGCCAUCCUAUCAGUGCUCCUCGUGGUACAGUAGCUCACUGUUGAUAAGUUGAGUGAUUUCUCAAGGGCUGUAUAAAAUCUAGUCCGGGCCAGAGAGGCACAUUUCCUUUGCCUGAUGAGAGCUGGAGGCCUUCGCAUUGGAGCGUGGGAGGUGAUGCACUCUUGGGGAAGAUCAAGUGUGCGCCCAUGGACUCCAAAUCACCAGCCCCCAAUUGCUGAGGAGGAACACAAUGCUACAUCCCUAGCGUUAAAUCACUGCUGCUGAGGUGAGGUCAUCCGCUUGUCUUCCUCUCUAAUGGAGAGCUCAGCUCACUAACGCACAGCGGUAAUGCAUGGAGAAGGGACGCAAGAGGCACAGUGAGCUACCUUCCAAUCUUAUUUGUUUUAACUUAGUACUCAUUUGAGGAGUUUGAGAGAGAACUGGGAGCGGCAGAUGCCUUUGGAGUAUGCUGUUACCACCGCAUACUUACCAGGACUCCAGGAGCUCACCGCAGAAUGCAUGAGCGGAUGACAGAUAACAGGUUGGUGACCCUAGAGACGGGAUGGACACAGGAGGCAAUAAACUCGGCCAUGCGCUCCCUUGGGUGUGUCUGAUCUCAUUGCCAGGGUAGAGCCAUGACCCUUCGGUCUCCCUGGAUGACUUCAGCUGCACGGCCUGUACUCCAGAGGGAAAAGACGGGAAAAGAAAACCUCUGCCUCAGAUCUCCCGGCAUCCCUCCCAAAAAGCCAGGCGGGGAUUAGGAAACCCCUACCUAUUGUUUUGCUUCCUUCGCAAUCAUUAGUCGAUAUGUCAACAGCUUGGUUUGCCACGCGUGCGCCACUGUUUUUGUUCUGCUGGGACCUGGCUGACCCCAGAUUCUCUGUGAUGUUUUGACAGAUUGUUUCAAAUUCCCAUCAAAGCAAUGUUGUCUUAUGAGCUAAAUCAACUACUUGGACAAUACAAACACGACCACACGACACACAGAAAAACAAAUAGAUUGCCUGUGACUGAAAUGUAACUGUUCAAUUUGUUUCUGUUUAUUUAGAUUCACGCUUAAACGAAACAGAUGUGACGUAAAUCGGCACCCUGUAUUAUGUAACGAAAGUGUAGAGAAUGGUAAAGCAGGCUGUGGGCUGACAAGGCCUGAUGGCGAUGAGUAAUUUUAAAUGGGAUCAAUGUUCUGAGUAAAUACUCAAUAUUGUUCAUAUAUGAAUGAAAAUAAACACUCUCAAAUCCA